CCUUGUGAACUUGUAAAAACGUUAAAGACUAACGUAAAUAUUAAAUAAAUAGUGUAAAAUCUUCUUAAAACCUCAAUAAAAAUUAACGGCAAUUAGCUUUAAUUAUAUCACCUGCCCCAAAAAGAUACACAUGAUAUGCGGUUGAUAGAUACUCCCAUAUCUCCAGCCAUGAAUAUGUAAAAACCAGGUCGGUUGCCGCUUUGAUGACCAAGAAGUUUUUUAGCCAUUUGUUUGACAUUCAAUUAUGACGCGUUUAUCUAAACAAAUUCACGUGAGCUGGGCUUAAUAUCUGUUUAAUGUGCCCCCCUCCCCCCAGCCCACCUAAUUUCUUUUUUUUCCGAGACGUCUCGAAAUAAUGAGGCUGAUUUGAUUAUUUUAUACAUUUGGUGAUUAUUUGUUUUUCGGGGCUUUCCGUUGUUUUUGCUAUUUUUGCGGUUCGGCGGCGAGGAGAACAGAAUGUGACAUCAAGUCAUGCGGUUCGUUAGCUGAAUGCUGAAAUCAAACAAAGCCACAGGCAUGUUGCUUGUGCCUGGCAAAAUGUUGAUUUAAAUUGUUGUUCCCUGACAUCAACCCCCCUCCCCCCCUGAAGUUGGUCCAAACUUGCGUUAUUCAAUUCGCUAAUUUAUGGCUCACACAAAAACUGGCGGCAAAUAGCAGGUGACAGAUCUGUCCAAAAUGCGAGCACAUUGGAUUUGAAUUCGAUGGGCAGAUACCAAUGGAGAUGAGAUUUUAUACAUCUUAUUCAGUUCAAUAACUUUAUCAUUAAACAAUGUGCAACAUGUUGACUAUACUCACACGCUCUGAUUGGAGUACCAAAUAUAGACUUAAGUGGGCGGAAAGGGGCAAGAUGGUAGACGAUAUCAGAAAUGUUGGCAACGGAAAGAGACUAUUUGCAAUCACAACUGCAUAAUUGGCCAGCCACGCUCAGUGUUUUCAAUUUUCACCUCUAAUUAGCGCCGAUUCAACAAAAAGUGCUGCUAUUGAUAGGAGUGAUUUGCUGUGAUAAAAUUGUUUUGGACAAUAUUUAAGUUGGGACAGUCACCCCAGCAGCGAUUUUCAAUCUUUUAGAUCUCAAUCUAAAGCCAAGCCAUUGGUUUUGAUUAUUUAGUUUUUACUUAGUUUCUUUUUUUGGGGGGGCUCGGGUCUCUAAUUGACGCGUGUCUGGUAUCAAACAGACCCGAGUUGACAAACUUUUCGACACUUCAUCAUCAUCAUCAAUAUAUCAUGGGUAUAUUAUCGUCACGUGCUAUCAUGCGAACAAAUGGCGAACAAAGCGGCUUAAUUAGCAUUCGUGUGUCAUCUGUUGGGCUUUUAAGACAUAUAAACAAAUAUAUAUCUGGCUAUAAAACAGUAAGUGUUCAUCAUCAAUAGGCCAUCGUAUGUGCCAGAUAACAGGUCAUCCGUAGGGUGAACAACUCGUGUGAUUACCAAGUUAAGAUUCAGAUGUUAACUUACUAUGCAUUUCAAUUUUGUAUUAUUUUAAAUAAACUUUAGUUUUUAACUUCAUCGUUAUUAAAGCGUUUGCAAUUACACAAUCCCUUUGAUUUAAUAAUUUAGCUAAUUGCUUGCGAUAUCUUGAGUUUCGCUUUGAACCCUUGUUAGUCAUUUUUGCAUUCAACCUGGGCUUUCAACGAUUUUGCCGCUCUUUGACCUUGCCGUAGGUUGCACCCACCCCCAUUUGCGCGCCCACACCAAAAAAAAAGCAUUUUGCAUUGCCAUCGAAUGAACACAACGGCGAGGAACGAUUCUACGUGACAUGUUUGCCUGAUCGGAUUGGCCAGGGCAUAAGCAAAUUCGAAGCAGUUAGUUAGCUUGGGUCAGUUGGCCGGAGCGGUUGUGUUGGCCAGCUGGAGAUUCGGAUUGGGAGAACUGGUCAGGUGGCCGGAUUACUUAGCACGAGCGGUGCCAAGCCGUUUUUGGCCCAAAAGGUUUUCCCUCGCACGCUUCAAAACCCAUUGCACAAUGGUCAUAGCCAAAAAUUGGGGGAUGGGGAGGGGUUUGGGGCGCAAAAACAUUUACAUUUUACAACGAUUUCGAAAUUGGGCAGGUAACCAAUGGAUUGGGUGGAUGGGCUUGGUUGGAGAAGUAGUAUCCGUAUUAGUAGCAGCUACCUGUGACGUGAUUCACUUUCAAACCUGGUCAGACGACAAACGCAUUUCAGUGCUUCGUCUUUGGUUUUUCUUUUCUUUUUUUUUUUUUUUGUAAAUGGCACGGCUGUUAUCCCAUAGCCAUUGUGUUAAUCUAAUCGAUUGACGGAGUUGAGCGUUGUCUACGGAACUGCCCAGCAAUAGAUAAUCAGCAGAGAUAAUAAGGUACGCGCAUUCUUACACAAUUAAUCCCCAAAGCACUUGAGUGCGGGGAGUGUGUAAAUUUUGAGAACAAUUCACUUGAAUCAAAUUCAAAUGGAGGGAAUACACAGUCGGCUAUUUCCACGGAUUCUUAUCAAUCGGAGUCACAUGUGACCAAUGGCGAGGCAGAUAUGAUGAUAUUGGACACUUGGCUAAUCUCCGCUGGGCUUUUUCCGGCUGCGAUUAGCCAGUUGUAGGACUGUUAAUUGCUUUUAGCUGGGAUUCAUGGAAACAUGUUCUUCAAGGUGCAAAGUUUAUGUGUAUAAAAAUACUAAUAGCUAAUAUGGUUAAAUACACACAUUUUCAGCUAAGUUACUCCUUGUACUUAAGCAAUCGCCAGAAAUGACAUGGAAUAUUUUGAAGAAUAUCUAUUAAAUGUUUUCUUCUGAUAAAACCAAUGAUCACAAUGAUUCGUCGCACUCUUUAUUGGGCGCCAAUAAAAACAGAGUUUAUUACCAUGAAUAGGUUCCUGGGUGCUCAACUUCAGAUUGACGUCAAAGGAGACGUCCUCCAACUCUCACUUAGCUCCAGUCCAAUCGUUCAAUUGAUCAAUUAAAUGGUUUUUGCAGAGACAUUCGAAGAAGUUGAGGAAUAUUCUUUAAAUAGCGCUCGAUUGAAGUUAUCAAGUGCUAGAUGGCAUCGUUGGAAUCUUUUAUGGCCGACGGAUUUCGUUGGAGCUUUCAGAAAGUUAUCUACGGCCGUAUAUUUGCAUUAAUUUAUUGCAAAUAUAAAAGACUUUUGCGAUGAUUGAUCGCAGCAUGUUGAACAUUCAUAUAAUAUAAUAUAUUCGCGGCUUAUCUGACAAUCGACGGCGAUAGCAAAGGGCGCUAUGGCGAAAAAGAUUUAGCCAUAAAGAUCAAAUCGGACGAAAGGCUAAAUAAAAAUCCACCAAACACUCGAGUUGGUGGUCGCUCAUAAAAAUCGAAGGGGCUAGGUAUGGUAUUGAUAAGGGGGGCGGUCGGGUGGCGGUUAAACCCUUAUCAAUGCGCCGGACUACUUAAUUGGCUUGAUAUUGCCCUACUACCCCAACUACCGUGUGGCCAAGUGUGGAUUGUGAUUGAUUCCAUUCCGAAUGCUAAAUACGCAGACGGGAUCGGGUGCCCCUUUUAAAUUGGUUUCACGAUUGCGAUCGGAUCGCGAAAUAUGUGUGUGAUUACUCCACUUACGAGUGUUUCAUUAACAGACCCACUCCACUCGAUUCGAAUCUCAAUCAGCCAUGAAUGUUGUUUCUAUAUAAUCGGCUUCAGAUUCGAUUUCGAUUUCGCUUUCAAUUCAACCCCCUCUCCCCCUUCCCAGUUUGGAUUUCACUGGGUCUCAGUCGGAUCCACUUCACGCUGUUCUACACUCGUUUCGUCUGGCUUUGGCCUUUGUCAUUAGUCCCAUUGACAACUGCUAAUUGUGAGGUCCACCCUAAAGGAUGUGUUUGGGCUGCUGCUGCUGGAGGGUCCACAAGCUAGUGUCUGAAUUUGAGUCACAACCCGUUGCAAAUGCUGGCGUUGUUGUCGUGGAAUAAUUAAAGCAAAUUUGCACUUCAGACAGUCGCCCGUGGAAAAACAAGGCAAACAUCUCAGCUCUCAGCACUGGCGACCCACAACAAGAGCGGUGCCGAAUCACCAAACCCAGGUACAAUCGAGGAUACCGCCUCCUUAAGGAGCGACAAAACCCCAAAGGAAUUUCACGGAUAACAAUCCGACUGCAGCAUACCCCGUAAUAAAUUAAACCAAAAAGUAUGGCAUUCCUUGCAAGCUGCAACUUUAAGCUACGUAAUAAACAUGUCUUAUCUUUAAUAUUAAGUUUUUAAUGCUAAUCUAGACAAAGACCUCUGCCAUCGCAUGCUUGUUACCUGCUUGCCAGCUUAUCUGAUAUACCCCUUUCAAAUAGAAAUUCCGCUUAUAACAACAACAACACCGUCAGCUGCCAGUGCCAACAUCAACAAAAAGGGGUGCUCCAAAGUGUUUCGAGGACUCGUACCUCCUACGACGACAAUUGCAACAACAGCAAUGCAGAACAAAACGCCAGUCAGCCGGGAAAGUACGCAAAAAAAUGUCUUUAUGUACGAAAGGCAAGAGCCAACAACACAAAAAACAAUGCCAGUGAGUGGCACAGAGCGCUGGAACAGGAGCGGUUCAUCUGGAGGAGAAGCUAUGGCAAACAUAUUUCGUGAUCCUGUACUCCUCCUUUGCCGCUCCUGUGGCAAAGAGAACGAAGCGGAAAGGAGGAAACCGAACGGCGACCGCGAUGACGGACUCGUGCGGAUGCUGCUGAUGCCGAUGCUGAUGCCGACGUGGAUGUGGAUCCCGACGAGGAUGAGGAUGACGAUGCUGCUGCUCGGCUCUUCCUGUGGCUUUUCUCACUUGCUGAGCGCAACAAGGACCAAAAAAUGCCAGCACGGCAACAACAAUGGCCAACAACAAUAAUAAUAGCGAAUGGCAACAAUAAACUGGGCUUGCGCCAAAAACGAAAUGCGAAAAUUUUGUGGGAAGAGCGAGCGAGAGUCGUCUUCUCACGACGGCAGGACGGUAACAACAACAGAAACAACAAAGGAGUAACGAGAUGGGAAAACAAAAUCACACAUACACACACGAAGAGCGACUCUCACAAAAAGCUGCUCAAAGUCAGUGUUUCGGGUGUGUGUGCGUGCAUGUUAGUGGGAGAGAUUCACCCGAAAAAAGUUUUCAACUUGAAAUUGAACUGUGUGUGCCAUAGUUGAAGGUAGAAGAAGCAGCAUCAGACAAAUUGGAGAGCGCCAGUUGUUGUUGCUUCAGAUGCUGAUGC
rnacentral:sRNA from 13 species